GAGACAAGAAAAUAUUUUCACAACUCAAGACAAGUUAAAUAUCCACUUGUGGGAACAGUGCUGAAGGCCUGGACUAGGAUGGUAGCAAUGGAGACAGACUAAAGAAAGAGAUGCAAUCAAUCCCUUGCAUAUGGUGCCUAUGAAGAUGGGAUCAUUACAGGAAAGGUGAAGGAGAUGCAGUCAUUAUGCUCUAUAUACACCCAUUUUUAUGGCUAGUGGCUGAAGAUGGGAUGCUUUCUUUGCUGGAAGACCUAUUACCUGUUAGGUUGCAAAAGAUGUGAUCAGCAUCCUAAACAAUAAUUUAGAGUCCCAUAACAAUUUUAAGUGUGCUGUUCAUGAAAAUUUGAAUACAUUGUAUGGGGAAUAUAAUGGAAGCGAGAUGCCUCAUGUCAUGAGAAAAUCUGACAUAAACUCCUUAAGCAUGAGAGGCCAUGUGGGUAUGGAAGCCCUGAAGAGAAGCAAAAAACAGCCAGACCCUAGCUGUUCCAGUCAUCCCAACCGAGGUGCCAGACUCAUGAAUGAGGCCUUUUUGCAUCAUCUAGGCCUAGUAGAGCUGCCAACUGACUGCAAACACAUGAGUCAAUCCAGCUAAUGCCACAUGGAGCAGAGACAAGCCGCCCAGCUGAGCCCAGUCCAGAUGACAGAAUCAUGAGAAAAUAAGGUUGUUGUUCUUUUAAGCCACUAAAUUUUCAGGUGAUUUGUUACACAGUAAUAAAUAACUGAAACAACUA
rnacentral:lncRNA from 1 species